rnacentral:rRNA from 1 species
UACGAAGGGUGCAAGCGUUACUCGGAAUUACUGGGCGUAAAGCGUGCGUAGGUGGUUUGUUAAGUCUGAUGUGAAAGCCCUGGGCUCAACCUGGGAAUGGCACUGGAUACUGGCAGGCUAGAGUGCGGUAGAGGAUGGCGGAAUUCCCGGUGUAGCAGUGAAAUGCGUAGAGAUCGGGAGGAACAUCUGUGGCGAAGGCGGCCAUCUGGACCAGCACUGACACUGAGGCACGAAAGCGUGGGGAGCAAACAGG